rnacentral:lncRNA from 1 species
UGGGGUCAGCCACAGAUUUUGGGGUCAGCCCCGACUUUGGGCUCAGCCACAGAUUUUGGGGUCAGCACAGACUUUGGGGUCGGUACCGACAUUGGGGUCAGCACCGUCAUUGGGGUCCAGCACAAACUUUGGGGUCAGCACAGACUUUGGGGUCAGCUCCGACUUUGGGGUUAGCCACAGAUUUUGGGGUCAGCACAGACUUUGAGGUCACCCAUCGACUUUGGGGUCAGCUCCGACUUUGGGGUCAGCCGCAGGGAUUGGGGUCACCUGCCGACUUUGGGGUCGGUACCGACAUUGGGGUCAGCACCGAUCAUUGAGGUCUGCCACAGAUUUUGGGGUCAGCACAGACUUUGGGGUCGGUACCGACAUUGGGGUCAGCCACAGAUUUUGGGGUCACCCGCCGACUUUGGGGUCAGCACCGUCAUUGGGGUCCGCCACAAACUUUGGGGUCAGCACAGACUUUGGGGUCACCCAUCGACUUUGGGGUCAGCUCCGACUUUGGGGUCAGCCACAGAUUUUGGGGUCAGCACCAUUAUUGGGGUCAGUACCGACUUUGGGGUCAGCUACAAACUUUGGGGUCAGCACCGACAUUGGGGUCGGCACCGACAUUGGGGUCACCCACCGACACUGGGGUCCCCCCUCGGGAUCGGGGCUCCCCGUGGACUUUGGGGUCCCCACGGAUGUCGGGGUUUCCCGAUAUUGGGGUCCCAUAGGUCCAGGGGUCCCAUAGGUGUUUGUUGGGGUCCCAUAGGUGUUGGGGUCCCACAGAUGUUGGGGUCCCAUAGGUGUUUAUUGGGAUCCCAUAGAUGUUGGGGUCCCAUGGUGUUGGGGUCCUGUAGAUGUUGGGGUCCCAUAGGU